UGUGAAAAAAACACUUUAAGU
rnacentral:piRNA from 1 species